rnacentral:rRNA from 1 species
AUGAUCAACCGGAGAUGUUGCUGGUCAAUUCAUAGCGACGACCUGAUGCUCUGCUGCACUGAUCCAGCCGGAGAUGAUGCUGAUGAUCUGCUGCUCAACAAGGUGCUGCUGCUUCUCCCGGGGCGUGCUGAUGAUCUGCUGCUCAACGUGGUGAUGGAUCUGGUAGCGCUUGGGGCAGGUGAUGGAUGGGCGACGAGGAGCCUAGCGGAGGGGUUGAUGGAGGAAGACGAUGAUUUCAGAUUAGGGGUAGUUCUGUACUUUCCUAGCUUUUCACCUGGUCGGAGAAUCCCCCCGGCGACAACUAUUACGGUACAGAGGGAGUAG